CUCUAGGGUUUGGAUUUUGGA
rnacentral:siRNA from 1 species